rnacentral:rRNA from 1 species
AGAAUCAACGCUGGCGGCGUGCCUAACACAUGCAAGUCGAACGAGAAAGUGGAGCAAUCCAUGAGUAAAGUGGCGCACGGGUGAGUAACACGUGACUAACCUACCCUUGAGUGGGGGAUAACCUAGGGAAACCUGGGCUAAUACCGCAUAAUAUCGAGAGAUCAAAGGAGCAAUUCGCUUAAGGAGGGGGUCGCGGCUGAUUAGCUAGUUGGUGAGGUAAUGGCUCACCAAGGCUAUGAUCAGUA